rnacentral:rRNA from 1 species
CCGACCCGUCCACACUCUAUGAAAGCCGCUUGUACCCGAAGUCACUGUGCCAACCGCAAGGAGGCAGGUGCCGAAGGUAUGGGUGGUGAUUGGGAUG